UACAGAGACCUCAAGCGUUACCCGGAAUCACUGGGCGUAAAGCGCACCGAAGGCGGCUGCGUGUGUGUUUUGUGAAAGCUCCAGGCCCAACCUGGAAACUGCAGAGCAAACUACGCAGCUACGAGGAAUGCAGGGGAAGCUGGAACUCACGGUGUAGCGGUGAAAUGCGUUGAUAUCGUGGGGAACACCAAACGCGAAGGCAGGCUUCUGGGCAUUACCUGACGCUGCUAGGGCGAAAGCGUGGGGAGCGAAUGGG
rnacentral:rRNA from 1 species